rnacentral:tRNA from 1 species
GGCCCGUUGGUCAAACGGUUAAGACACCGCCCUUUCACGGCGGUAACACGGGUUCGAAUCCCGUACGGGUCA